rnacentral:lncRNA from 1 species
AAAUAAAUGACCUCACUCUCUUUUUUCCCUUUUUCUGUUCCUUUCCUCUUCUACUCUCACCAGAUUAAUGUCAAUAAUCCCACAUUCCAUUUCAAACAACAGAUGAAUAGAUAGAAGAUUAGCUUUUCACAGAAACAGCUGUAAAUAACUAUAAUCUAGUUAGUAGGAUUCCUUUAUGGCUUGAAGGGUUAUAACAACAGGAGUCCUAAAUUUCCCUGAUCAAAAACUUUAAUUCCCUCCUAUAGGGAAACAACAGGACAUCUUCUAAAGUUCAACAACAAGGUCAUGUAUACAACAUUUAUAUAUAUGAACUAAUCAUAAAGAACCAGGGUAAAGAAUUUUAAUCCUAUAAAAUUUAGGUAUACAAAGAUCCAAGGAUCUCAUAACUAAAUAUUUUCUAACAAAAAGUGAGAGGAAAGGUAGCUUAACAUCAAUCAGUUCUCAAUGUCCUAAGAGUGACUUUC